UUUGAAUUGGUAUUGAUUUUUUUUCACAACUUUUGGAACGACGAGAUGAGACUACCAAGUCCAGAGGUCGGAUGGUCAUCUAAGGUGCUGUUAGUCUUGCUCUCCAAAUGACUCUCAUGAAUGUGAACCUUGAUCAAACGUAUUUUUGGAGAAAGAGUGAUAUGUCAGCAUAGUCAUGGUAUAUGACAAUGAUAAUUUGAAGAACCGUUUAAAGUAUUUUGAUAUUGCAGCAGAAGGCAGACUUUGAAGAGUUCACGCUACACAGAAAGAUGAUGAAAUGCUACCCAUUGAAUCCAUCGUUGCUCCACUGGAGGCGAAGCUUAAGCUUGCUGCAGGAGGUAUACUUCUGUUCUACAUUAUGACCCCUAUAAUUUGUUUGUACAUGGGAGGUAUAGAGUGUUCAAUGUGUAUUUGGUUUCCAUAUUAGAGCGGGUUUCUUUGCUUGUAGGGAAACGAAAACUAAAAGCGCUGAUGAUGAUGCUAACCGCGGUGGCCUGGGUUGAUCAUGAUGCAGCACUGCUAAUUGUUCAUCUUCAUCAUCUGUAGUACUAAUCAAUUCAUUACUGAGAUGAUCAGAUGCGUCAUUGCUUGCUUCUGCAUCAUUAUCACCACUCGACAAGCAGUCUGGAUAUCACUCAGAACCAUAAAUAAAAGGGUCAUUAAUAACCACAUUUUCCUUGAUAAGUUUGUCCCAUAUUAUAUUAACCCCUGUUUUCUUCACUCUCACAGAAUAAUCAUCUGCAGUUUUGACCGACCAAACUUAAAAGUACUGUACACCAACCUUGUCCCCUCCCUACAAAUUGAGUUUAUCGUUUGAUAACUGUCCCUGCCAAAUUCU
rnacentral:sRNA from 1 species